rnacentral:rRNA from 1 species
UCCAGGCGAAGCUGGCACGCCGCGUGAGUGAGAAGGCUUCGGGUGUAAAACUCUGUUGUUAGGGAAGAACAAGUAUCGGAGUAACUGCCGGUACCUGACGGUCCUAACCAGAAAGCCACGGCUAUACUGCCAGCAGCCGCGGUAAUAAA